rnacentral:rRNA from 1 species
UACAGAGGGUGCAAGCGUUGUUCGGAAUUACUGGGCGUAAAGCGCGUGUAGGCGGUCUGCCAAGUCUGAUGUGAAAGCCCUGGGCUCAACUGGGGAGGGUCACGCGAUACUGUUCGACUUGAAGGCAGGAGAGGGAAGUGGAAUUCCCGGUGUAGUGGUGAAAUGCGUAGAUAUCGGGAGGAACACCAGUGGCGAAGGCGACUUCCUGGCCUGUUCUUGACGCUGAGGCGCGAAAGCUAGGGUAGCAAACGGG